UUUGUGAAGAGACGAAAACUGAGCGGUUGUGUCCGCGUUGCCGACCUCGUCCAGCAGUCGGUUUCUCCACGCAGAAUCCGGGAGUAGGAGACUCAGAAUCGAAUCUCUUCUCCCUCCCCCCUCCUGUGAGAUUUUUUUGAUCUUCAGCUACAUUUUCAGCUUUGUGAGAAACCUUAUCAUCAAACACAAUGGCCAGCAACGUUACCAACAAGACAGAUCCUCGCUCCAUGAACUCCCGUGUGUUCAUUGGGAAUCUCAACACUCUUGUGGUCAAGAAAUCUGAUGUGGAGGCAAUCUUUUCGAAGUACGGCAAAAUUGUGGGCUGCUCGGUUCAUAAGGGCUUUGCCUUCGUUCAAUAUGUUAAUGAGAGAAAUGCCCGGGCUGCUGUAGCAGGAGAGGAUGGCAGAAUGAUUGCUGGCCAGGUUUUAGGUAUUAACCUGGCUGCAGAGCCAAAAGUGAACCGAGGAAAAGCAGGUGUGAAACGAUCUGCAGCGAAGAUGUAGGGCUCCUCUUUUGACUUGGACUAUGACUUUCAACGGGACUAUUAUGAUAGGAUGUACAGUUACCCAGCACGUGUACCUCCUCCUCCUCCUAUUGCUCGGGCUGUAGUGCCCUCGAAACGUCAGCGUGUAUCAGGAAACACCUCACGAAGGGGCAAAAGUGGCUUCAAUUCUAAGAGUGGACAGCGGGGAUCUUCCAAGUCUGGAAAGCUGAAAGGAGAUGACCUUCAGGCCAUUAAGAAGGAGUUGACCCAGAUAAAACAAAAAGUGGAUUCUCUCCUGGAAAACCUGGAAAAAAUUGAAAAGGAACAGAGCAAACAAGCAGUAGAGAUGAAGAACGAUAAGUCAGAAGAGGAGCAGAGCAGCAGCUCCGUGAAGAAAGAUGAGACUAAUGUGAAGAUGGAGUCUGAGGGGGGUGCAGAUGACUCUGCUGAGGAGGGGGACCUACUGGAUGAUGAUGAUAAUGAAGAUCGGGGGGAUGACCAGCUGGAGUUGAUCAAGGAUGAUGAAAAAGAGGCUGAGGAAGGAGAGGAUGACAGAGACAGCGUCAAUGGCGAGGAUGACUCUUAAGCACAUAGUGGGGUUUAGAAAUCUUAUCCCAUUAUUUCUUUACCUAGGCGCUUGUCUAAGAUCAAAUUUUUCACCAGAUCCUCUCCCCUAGUAUCUUCAGCACAUGCUCACUGUUCUCCCCAUCCUUGUCCUUCCCAUGUUCAUUAAUUCAUAUUGCCCCGUGCCUAGUCCCAUUUUCACUUCCUUUGACGCUCCUAGUAGUUUUGUUAAGUCUUACCCUGUAAUUUUUGCUUUUAAUUUUGAUACCUCUUUAUGACUUAAAAAUAAAAAGGAUGUAUGGUUUUUAUCAAAAAAAAA